rnacentral:rRNA from 1 species
CCUACGGGUGGCAGCAGUGGGGAAUAUUGGACAAUGGGCGAAAGCCUGAUCCAGCCAUGCCGCGUGUGUGAAGAAGGCCUUCGGGUUGUAAAGCACUUUCAGUGGGGAAGAAAGCCUUGGGGCUAAUACCCUCGAGGAAGGACAUCACCCACAGAAGAAGCACCGGCUAACUCCGUGCCAGCAGCCGCGGUAAUACGGAGGGUGCGAGCGUUAAUCGGAAUUACUGGGCGUAAAGCGCGCGUAGGCGGUCUGAUAAGCCGGUUGUGAAAGCCCCGGGCUCAACCUGGGAACGGCAUCCGGAACUAUCAGGCUAGAGUGCAGGAGAGGAAGGUAGAAUUCCCGGUGUAGCGGUGAAAUGCGUAGAGAUCGGGAGGAAUACCAGUGGCGAAGGCGGCCUUCUGGACUGACACUGACGCUGAGGUGCGAAAGCGUGGGUAGCAAACAGGAUUAGAUACCCGGGUAGUC